rnacentral:rRNA from 1 species
UUAAAUUGCUGUGGUAUUUUGACUAUAGAUAUUUAUUGAAUAGAUUUUAUUGAAUGCUAAGAGAAUGGACUCUCAGAGAAAAACUUUUUUUAAAUUAAAAAUUGAAAUUUUUUUAAUUUGUGCAGAAACAAUUAUUAAUAUUAAGGACAAGAAGACCCUAUGAAUUUAUUAAAUUUCAUUCAAUAUGUAAUUACUAUUGAAGAAAUUUUGGCUGGGGCGGCUAAAAAAUAUUUUAAACUUUUUAAAAAUAAAAUGAUCCAUUAUUAAUGAUUAUAUGUUAAAUACUCUAGGGAUAACAGCGUUAUAUUUUUUGAUAGACCAUAUUGACAAAAAAGUUUGCGACCUCGAUGUUGGAUUAGGAUACUUUUUUAAUGCAGAUAUUAAAAAAAGAAGUUUGUUCAACUUUCAAUUUCCUACAUGAUCUGAGUUCAGACCGG